CCUACGGGAGGCAGCAGUGGGGAAUAUUGGACAAUGGGGGGAACCCUGAUCCAGCCAUGCCGCGUGUGUGAAGAAGGCCCUCGGGUUGUAAAGCACUUUCAGUGAGGAAGAACGCCUGGUGGUUAAUACCCAUCAGGAAAGACAUCACUCACAGAAGAAGCACCGGCUAACUCCGUGCCAGCAGCCGCGGUAAUACGGAGGGUGCGAGCGUUAAUCGGAAUUACUGGGCGUAAAGCGCGCGUAGGUGGCUUGAUAAGCCGGUUGUGAAAGCCCCGGGCUCAACCUGGGAACGGCAUCCGGAACUGUCAAGCUAGAGUGCAGGAGAGGAAGGUAGAAUUCCCGGUGUAGCGGUGAAAUGCGUAGAGAUCGGGAGGAAUACCAGUGGCGAAGGUGGCCUUCUGGACUGACACUGACACUGAGGUGCGAAAGCGUGGGUAGCAAACAGGAUUAGAUACCCUUGUAGUC
rnacentral:rRNA from 1 species